rnacentral:lncRNA from 1 species
CAUGAACUCUAAGUUUUAAGGUUAAGGGUAUUUUAAUAAUUUUCAUUCUCAAAAUUAAAAAAGUAAAAAAAAAAACCCAAGUCAAUCCUACUCUAGCCCCAAUUAAAAAAAAAUCAGAAACACUUGUCUUAUUUUAAUAAUUUUCAUUCUCAAAACUAAAAAAAACCCAUACACUUACUCACCUCUUUCAUUCCUCUCAGUCC